AAACUCUUAGCGGUGGAUCACUUGGCUCGUGGAUCGAUGAAGAACGCAGCUAGCUGCGAGAAUUAAUGUG
rnacentral:rRNA from 3 species